UACGGGGGGGGCAAGCGUUGUUCGGAAUUACUGGGCGUAAAGGGCUCGUAGGCGGCCAACUAAGUCCGACGUGAAAUCCCAAGGCUUAACCUUGGAACUGCGACGGAUACUGGAUGGCUUGAAAUCGGGAGAGGGAUGCAGAAUUCCAGGUGUAGCGGUGAAAUGCGUAGAUAUCUGGAGGAAUACCGGUGGCGAAGGCGGCAUCCUGGACCGACAUUGACGCUGAUGAGCGAAAGCUAGGGGAGCAAACGGG
rnacentral:rRNA from 1 species